rnacentral:rRNA from 1 species
UGGGGAAUUUUGGACAAUGGGCGAAAGCCUGAUCCAGCAAUGCCGCGUGUGUGAAGAAGGCCUUCGGGUUGUAAAGCACUUUUGUCCGGAAAGAAAUGGCUCUGGUUAAUACCUGGGGUCGAUGACGGUACCGGAAGAAUAAGGACCGGCUAACUACGUGCCAGCAGCCGCGGUAAUACGUAGGGUCCAAGCGUUAAUCGGAAUUACUGGGCGUAAAGCGUGCGCAGGCGGUUGUGCAAGACCGAUGUGAAAUCCCCGAGCUUAACUUGGGAAUUGCAUUGGUGACUGCACGGCUAGAGUGUGUCAGAGGGGGGUAGAAUUCCACGUGUAGCAGUGAAAUGCGUAGAGAUGUGGAGGAAUACCGAUGGCGAAGGCAGCCCCCUGGGAUAACACUGACGCUCAUGUACGAAAGCGUGGGGAGCAAACAGG